rnacentral:rRNA from 1 species
UACGUAGGGAGCAAGCGUUGUCCGGAAUCAUUGGGCGUAAAGCGCGCGUAGGUGGCUCUAUAAGUCCGUUGUGAAAGUCAAAGGCUCAACCUUUGAAAGCCGAUGGAUACUGUAGAGCUAGAGUACGGAAGAGGCGAGUGGAAUUCCCGGUGUAGCGGUGAAAUGCGCAGAUAUCGGGAGGAACACCAAUUGCGAAGGCAGCUCGCUGGGACGUCACUGACGCUGAGACGCGAAAGCGUGGGGAGCGAACAGG